rnacentral:ncRNA from 1 species
AAGAGCCUUGAGAAAGCUCUUAAGGCUAAAUUGUGGAAGUGAACCUUCUGCUAUAAACCAUCAAAUUGCGGGAAACCCCUAAAGAAAUUUCAACCAAGUAAGUAUGGUAACAUAACUUAUGGCACAGGUAAUGACUCGUGGUACGGUAAAAUCGAAAUUUAUAUACGAAAGUUAAAUGGGCAAUCUGCAGCCAAGCAUCUACUACUAAUACUUAGUAAGGUGUGCAGUUCAUCGACUAAAUGUUGGUUGGCAUUAUCUAUUUGAUAGUGCUUAAGAUAUAGUCAAACCCUACUCGAAAGAGUACA